rnacentral:tRNA from 1 species
AGCUAAAAAAGCUUUAAAGAAGCGGUGGUCUUGUAAGCCACAGAUACCUUAGGUUUUUGGCUU